rnacentral:rRNA from 1 species
UACGUAGGGUCCGAGCGUUGUCCGGAGUGACUGGGCGUAAAGCGCGUGUAGGCGGCUAUGCAAGUCGGAUGUGAAAGCCCUCGGCUCAACCGGGGAAGUGCACUCGAAACUGCAAGGCUAGAGUCUCGGAGAGGAUCGUGGAAUUCUCGGUGUAGAGGUGAAAUUCGUAGAUAUCGAGAGGAACACCGGUGGCGAAGGCGGCGAUCUGGACGAUGACUGACGCUGAGACGCGAAAGCGUGGGGAGCAAACAGG